AAUUCCUUUAAGAUUUCCAGUUUCUCUUUCCUCUCACACUGUUUUUUACCAGUACGAACUCAAGUGGAGCUUGGGUUUGGUUCAAUCAGUGGAGCUUGCGACCCCAAAUUCUUUGGCCCGCAGUGAAGAGGCUUUUAAAGGCCUUUGUAUUAAAGGAUUUGAGGAUCGUUAAUGGCAUGUUGUGUCUAUGGAGGGCUAUAGUAUAAUUACAAUUCCAAUGUCACAGAAGCUGAAAUGGAGUUCACUGUACAGAAGCUGCCAACGGAAUUUUGUGUCCAAAAUACUCUCUACUGGCAAUGACAAACAUUUGGGUCAGUAAUGAGCUUGAGGCAGGACAUCCAUUUUGUGAUAUUAAUGGUAACAGAUCAUAGAGAACACAUAUCUUGAAGAGCUAAGGGAAAAUAGAGAGGAAUAGAUGUUGCC